rnacentral:rRNA from 1 species
UCUCCUGGAAACGGGUGGUAAUGCCGGAUGCUCCGCCCCCUCGCAUGGGGGGUCGGGAAGGCUUUUGCGGAAUGGGAUGGGGUCGCGUCCUAUCAGCUUGUUGGCGGGGCGACGGCCCACCAAGGCUUCGACGGGUAGCCGGCCUGAGAGGGCGACCGGCCACAUUGGGACUGAGAUACGGCCCAGACUCCUACGGGAGGCAGCAGUGGGGAAUAUUGCACAAUGGGGGGAACCCUGAUGCAGCGACGCCGCGUGCGGGAUGGAGGCCUUCGGGUCGUGAACCGCUUUUGAUUGGGAGCAAGCGUGAGUGAGUGUACCUUUCGAAUAAGCACCGGCUAACUACGUGCCAGCAGCCGCGGUAAUACGUAGGGUGCAAGCGUUGUCCGGAAUCAUUGGGCGUAAAGGGCUCGUAGGCGGUUCGUCGCGUCCGGUGUGAAAGCCCAUCGCUUAACGGUGGGUCUGCCGCCGGGUACGGGCGGGCUGGAGUGCGGGAGGGAAGGUGGAAUUCCCGGUGGAACGGGGAAUGGGAGAAAUCGGAAAAAACC